CUCCUACGGGAGGCAGCAGUGGGGAAUUUUGGACAAUGGGGGCAACCCUGAUCCAGCCAUUCCGCGUGAGUGAAGAAGGCCUUCGGGUUGUAAAGCUCUUUCAGCUGGAACGAAACGGUGCGCUCUAACAUAGCGCGCUAAUGACGGUACCAGCAGAAGAAGCACCGGCUAACUACGUGCCAGCAGCCGCGGUAAUACGUAGGGUGCGAGCGUUAAUCGGAAUUACUGGGCGUAAAGCGUGCGCAGGCGGAUUGUUAAGCAAGAUGUGAAAUCCCCGGGCUUAACCUGGGAAUGGCAUUUUGAACUGGCAGUCUAGAGUGCGUCAGAGGGGGGUGGAAUUCCACGUGUAGCAGUGAAAUGCGUAGAGAUGUGGAGGAACACCAAUGGCGAAGGCAGCCCCCUGGGAUGACACUGACGCUCAUGUACGAAAGCGUGGGUAGCAAACAGGAUUAGAUACCCUGGUAGUCCACGCCCUAAACGAUGUCAACUGGUUGUUGGGGGGAGUGAAAUCCCUUAGUAACGAAGCUAACGCGUGAAGUUGACCGCCUGGGGAGUACGGUCGCAAGAUUAAAACUCAAAGGGAAUUGACGGGGACCCGCACAAGCGGUGGAUGAUGUGGAUUAAUUCGAUGCAACGCGAAAAACCUUACCUACCCUUGACAUGUCCGGAAUCCUGCAGAGAUGCGGGAGUGCCCGAAAGGGAAUCGGAACACAGGUGCUGCAUGGCUGUCGUCAGCUCGUGUCGUGAGAUGUUGGGUUAAGUCCCGCAACGAGCGCAACCCUUAUCAUUAGUUGCUACGCAAGGGCACUCUAAUGAGACUGCCGGUGACAAACCGGAGGAAGGUGGGGAUGACGUCAAGUCCUCAUGGCCCUUAUGGGUAGGGCUUCACACGUCAUACAAUGGUCGGUACAGAGGGUUGCCAAGCCGCGAGGUGGAGCCAAUCCCAGAAAGCCGAUCGUAGUCCGGAUUGUUCUCUGCAACUCGAGAGCAUGAAGUCGGAAUCGCUAGUAAUCGCGGAUCAGCAUGUCGCGGUGAAUACGUUCCCGGGUCUUGUACACACCGCCCGUCACACCAUGGGAGUGGAAUCUGCCAGAAGUAGGUAGCCUAACCGCAAGGGGGGCGCUUACCACGGUGGGUUUCAUGACUGGGGUGAAGUCGUAACAAGGUA
rnacentral:rRNA from 1 species